AGUCAAUAGAUACCCGGGUAGUCCACGCCGUAAACGAUGAAUACUAGGUGUAGGGGUUGUCAUGACCUCUGUGCCGCCGCUAAACGCAUUAAGUAUUCCGCCUGGGGAGUACGGUCGCAAGAUUAAAACUCAAAGGAAUUGACGGGGCCGGCACAAGCAGCGGAGCAUGUGGUUUAAUUUACGUAAGCAACGCGAAGAACCUUACCUAGACUUGUACAUCUCCUGAAUUACUCUGUAAUGGAGGAAGCCCUUCGGGUCGAGAAGACAGGUGGUGCAUGGUUGUCGUCAGCUCGUGUCGUGAGAUGUUGGGUUAAGUACCCGCAACGAGCGC
rnacentral:rRNA from 1 species